CCUACGGGAGGCAGCAGUGGGGGAUAUUGCACAAUGGGGGAAACCCUGAUGCAGCGACGCCGCGUGAGUGAAGAAGUAUUUCGGUAUGUAAAGCUCUAUCAGCAGGGAAGAAAAUGACAGUACCUGACCAAGAAGCCCCGGCUAACUACGGGCCAGAAGCCGCGGUAAUACUUCGGGGGCAACGGUUAUCCGGAUUUCAUGGGUGUAAAGGGAUCUUAGUCGGUUUUGUAAGUCUGGAGUGAAAGCCCGGGGCCCAACCCCAGGACGGCUUUGGAAACUGUGUAACUGGAGUACAGGAGGGGCAGGCGGAAUGCGUGGUGUAGCGGUGAAAUGCGUAGAGAUCAGGAGGAACACCGGCGGCGAAGGCGGCCUGCUGGACUGAAACUGACGCUGAGGCUCGAAAGCGUGGGGAGCAAACAGGAUUAGAUACCCGUGUAGUC
rnacentral:rRNA from 1 species